AUUGAACGCUGGCGGCAGGCCUAACACAUGCAAGUCGAGCGGAUGAAGGGAGCUUGCUCCUGGAUUCAGCGGCGGACGGGUGAGUAAUGCCUAGGAAUCUGCCUGGUAGUGGGGGAUAACGUCCGGAAACGGGCGCUAAUACCGCAUACGUCCUGAGGGAGAAAGUGGGGGAUCUUCGGACCUCACGCUAUCAGAUGAGCCUAGGUCGGAUUAGCUAGUUGGUGGGGUAAAGGCCUACCAAGGCGACGAUCCGUAACUGGUCUGAGAGGAUGAUCAGUCACACUGGAACUGAGACACGGUCCAGACUCCUACGGGAGGCAGCAGUGGGGAAUAUUGGACAAUGGGCGAAAGCCUGAUCCAGCCAUGCCGCGUGUCUGAAGAAGGUCUUCGGAUUGUAAAGCACUUUAAGUUGGGAGGAAGGGCAGUAAGUUAAUACCUUGCUGUUUUGACGUUACCAACAGAAUAAGCACCGGCUAACUUCGUGCCAGCAGCCGCGGUAAUACGAAGGGUGCAAGCGUUAAUCGGAAUUACUGGGCGUAAAGCGCGCGUAGGUGGUUCAGCAAGUUGGAUGUGAAAUCCCCGGGCUCAACCUGGGAACUGCAUCCAAAACUACUGAGCUAGAGUACGGUAGAGGGUGGUGGAAUUUCCUGUGUAGCGGUGAAAUGCGUAGAUAUAGGAAGGAACACCAGUGGCGAAGGCGACCACCUGGACUGAUACUGACACUGAGGUGCGAAAGCGUGGGGAGCAUACAGGAUUAGAUACCCUGGUAGUCCACGCCGUAAACGAUGUCGACUAGCCGUUGGGAUCCUUGAGAUCUUAGUGGCGCAGCUAACGCGAUAAGUCGACCGCCUGGGGAGUACGGCCGCAAGGUUUAAACUCAAAUGAAUUGACGGGGGCCCGCACAAGCGGUGGAGCAUGUGGUUUAAUUCGAAGCAACGCGAAGAACCUUACCUGGCCUUGACAUGCUGAGAACUUUCCAGAGAUGGAUUGGUGCCUUCGGGAACUCAGACACAGGUGCUGCAUGGCUGUCGUCAGCUCGUGUCCUGAGAUGUUGGGUUAAGUCCCGUAACGAGCGCAACCCUUGUCCUUAGUUACCAGCACCUCGGGUGGGCACUCUAAGGAGACUGCCGGUGACAAACCGGAGGAAGGUGGGGAUGACGUCAAGUCAUCAUGGCCCUUACGGCCAGGGCUACACACGUGGUACAAUGGUCGGAACAAAGGGUAGCCAAGCCGCGAGGUGGAGCUAAUCCCAUAUAACCGAACGUAGUCCGGAUCGCAGUCUGCAACUCGACUGCGUGAAGUCGGAAUCGCAAGUAAUCGUGAAUCAGAAUGACACGGUGAAUACGUUCCCGGGCCUUGUACACACCGCCCGUCACACCAUGGGAGUGGGUAGCUCCAGAAGUAGCUAGUCUAACCGCAAGGGGGACGGUUACCACGGAGUGAUUCAUGACUGGGGUG
rnacentral:rRNA from 1 species